GGUCAAUAGAGAUGAAGAGACAAACCAUCAAACAUCGAGAAAACAUGUAGACAAAAUUUUCUCGUUAUGCGCAUGCUAGGCGCACAGGUUGGUAUUAUGGCA